UACAGAGGGGGCAAGCGUUGUUCGGAAUUACUGGGCGUAAAGGGCGCGUAGGCGGCCUGCUAAGUCGAACGUGAAAUCCCCGAGCUUAACUCGGGAACUGCGUCCGAUACUGACAGGCUUGAAUCCGGGAGAGGGAUGCGGAAUUCCAGGUGUAGCGGUGAAAUGCGUAGAUAUCUGGAGGAACACCGGUGGCGAAGGCGGCAUCCUGGACCGGCAUUGACGCUGAGGCGCGAAAGCUAGGGGAGCAAACAGG
rnacentral:rRNA from 1 species